rnacentral:lncRNA from 1 species
AGCUACAUUUGAAGCAUAAUUUUAUCAUUACCUUUCCAAAUUAUCAAUGUAUCAUGGCCCUAGUCAUUUCGAGCUUUAGCUUGAUACAACCACAGUUACCCAAUAAAAUUGGAUAUAAUAAUAUAAAACUUUACAAUCAAAAAAUAAUAUAAUCAAUUUUGUAGGUAAUCCCCACAAUUACUGUAUCAAUACUUUGUAAAAUAUCCAUAGGUUUAACUUGACUGGAAUCA